AGCUGAGUUUGAUCCUGGCUCAGAUUGAACGCUGGCGGUAUGCCUUACACAUGCAAGUCGAACGGUAGAGGAGCAAUCCUCGAGAGUGGCGAACGGGUGAGUAAUACAUCGGAACGUGCCCAGUCGUGGGGGAUAACGUAGCGAAAGCUACGCUAAUACCGCAUACGACCCGAGGGUGAAAGCGGGGGACUCGCAAGAGCCUCGCGCGAUUGGAGCGGCCGAUAUCAGAUUAGGUAGUUGGUGAGGUAAAGGCUCACCAAGCCGACGAUCUGUAGCCGG
rnacentral:rRNA from 1 species